GCUAGGUAAUGCUAGUAUCAACAUGCCAUCCAACACAGCUGAAACUAUAGUAAGACCACCACAUGCUAGGUAAUGCUAGUAUCAACAUCCAAUCCAACACAGCUGAAAUUAUAGUAAGACCACCACAUGCUAGGUAAUGCUAGUAUCAACAUGCCAUCCAACACAGCUGAAAUUAUAGUAAGACCACCACAUGCUAGGUAAUGCUAGUAUCAACAUCCAAUCCAACACAGCUGAAAUUAUAGUAAGACCACCACAUGCUAGGUAAUGCUAGUAUCAACAUCCCAUCCAACACAGCUGAAACUACAGUAAGACCACCACAUGCUAGGUAAUGCUAGUAUCAACAUCCAAUCCAACACAGCUGAAACUAUAGUAAGACCACCACAUGCUAGGUAAUGCUAGUAUCAACAUCCAAUCCAACACAGCUG
ensembl:lncRNA